rnacentral:rRNA from 1 species
AUUGAACGCUGGCGGCAGGCCUAACACAUGCAAGUCGAGCGGAUGAAGGGAGCUUGCUCCUGGAUUCAGCGGCGGACGGGUGAGUAAUGCCUAGGAAUCUGCCUGGUAGUGGGGGAUAACGUCCGGAAACGGGCGCUAAUACCGCAUACGUCCUGAGGGAGAAAGUGGGGGAUCUUCGGACCUCACGGUAUCAGAUGAGCCUAGGGCGGAUUAGCGAGUUGGUGGGGUAAAGGACUACCAAGGCUUCGAUGGGUAGCUGGUCUGAGAGGGUGAACGGUCAGAUUGGGAGUGAGAUAAGGCCCAGACUCCUAAGGGAGGCAGCAGUGGGGAAUAUUGUACAAUGGGAGGAAGCCUGAUGCAGCAACUGCGCGUGCGGGAUGACGUCCUUCGGGUUGUAAACCGCUUUCGCCUGUGACGAAGAGUGAGUGAGGGUAAUGGGUAAAGAAGCACCGGCUAACUACGUG